rnacentral:rRNA from 1 species
GAUGAACGCUAGCUACAGGCUUAACACAUGCAAGUCGAGGGACCGGCGCACGGGUGAGUAACGCGUAUCCACCCUCACCAUUAGUGUGGGAUAACCUGCCGAAAGGCAGACCAAUACCGCAUAGUAAUGGUUGGGGAUGCGUUUGAUUAGCUUGUUGGCGGGGUAACGGCCCACCAAGGCAACGAUCAGUAGGGGUUCUGUGAGGAAGGUCCCCCGCAUUGGAACUGAGACACGGUCCAAACUCCUACGGGAGGCAGCAGUGAGGAAUAUUGGUCAAUGGGCGGUAGCCUGAAACAGCCAAGUAGCGUGAAGGAUGAAGGCUUAUGGGUCGUAAACUUCUGUUAUAUAAGAAUAUGUAUUAUAUGAAUAAGGAUCGGCUAACUACGUGCCAGCAGCCGCGGUAAUUC